UCUCUAUCAGUAUCUCAGGUCCAAAUCUUGUUUUCUUAGAUAUCUCCGGUCCAAAGAGAAUAUCCCCUAUCGUUCUGUUUUCUUCCCUUCCAUUGUUAGACAUGGAACACGCAGGUUCCUUUUUAGGGAUUAUUUUGUUCCUCCGUUUAAUCUUUGGGAUGUUUUACCUCAUUUUGAUAUUUGAUUUUUUUCCCGGGGAAGAUGAAUCAAAAAAUUUUGGGAACAAAAGAUGUUCUCCAUGAUUUUGAUAUUUGAUUUCCCAGAGCAGAUGAAUCACCAAUUUACUUUUUGGGAACAACAAUCAGAUUACAGAUUCAAUGGGUGCUGUGAAUUCCAUCGAAGUUUCCAAUCACUAACGGAUGCUUAUUUAGAGUAAUCCCCUUGAAAUUAAUCCAUGAAAAUUAAAUGCGCUUAAGUUUUGAAGGGUCGUCUAUCUCCAUAAGUUUGGUUCAUUAUUUGUCUGAAAUUUUGAUCUCUACCAUCAAAACAUAUAGAUAUGUGAAAAUCAAAUAUGCAUAAUGUUUUCUAAGAAUUCGUUGUUGAAUAUUUCUUAUAAAUUUGCUUACCUAUUUUUGGCUUAACCUGUCUUCCUAUAUCAGGAUUUAGUGCAAAUGACUACUUCAAAAAAAUCGUUGUCCUAAUGAACCAUCCCAACUUUUUCAAGGAACUGAUAUGAUCAACCAUUUUUUCGUUCGACGGCAUUUCAUUUAUUGUAAGAACAACAAACACCUGAGAACUAUUGAUGGCGCCGUUGUGUAAGGAGACUACUUGGCCGAAUUGCAGGAAUUGCUUACAAGCUAAGUGAACAUGAUAUGAAAGGAUAACCAGCUGAUAAUUUGCAGACGGGGAAUAUUAGCAUGCGGAAAUAUUGGGUGGUCAUAGAUCGAGCAAACCCAUGAAAAGUUCAGAGUUCAUGUUAAUUAAAAAAGUAACAUUUUUUACAAGGUCAAAAACUCAAAGUUGUGCAGACACAUCAACUUAACAUUUGUACAAAGGCAUUUCUGGUCAAGCACUUGGUUGGAGAACACAAGAGGCAUCACAAAACUUGGGUUAGCAUGUUAGGUGUGGCGGAUAGAACUCUUCCUUCUCCCUCCUCCUCCAUCGACUAGCUCAUCACAGCUAAUGGUAGUACAACUGCUAAUAUAGGAGGAAGUCAUCAAGUGGUGCUUGAUUUCAAUCUGAAUGAGCUGCCUGUGAUGGGAGAAUAAAAAGGUAACGGAUGUAAUCAAUUGUGAACAAGAGGUUAAUAUCACUUUUACAUAUUAGUUUCCAGUUAAAAUUGUAUAUACAUUUGUCCAGAUCAUUUUAACUUGUUGCUUUUAAUGUACAAGAUAUAAAUAUGACUUUCAUUUUUGGUCAUUUCAACGAAUUUAUAGUCAAAGAGUUAUAAUGUA